AUUGAACGCUGGCGGCAGGCUUAACACAUGCAAGUCGAGCGGAGCGAGGGUGCUUGCACCUUAGCUUAGCGGCGGACGGGUGAGUAAUGCUUAGGAAUCUGCCUAUUAGUGGGGGACAACAUUCCGAAAGGGAUGCUAAUACCGCAUACGCCCUACGGGGGAAAGCAGGGGAUCUUCGGACCUUGCGCUAAUAGAUGAGCCUAAGUCGGAUUAGCUAGUUGGUGGGGUAAAGGCCUACCAAGGCGACGAUCUGUAGCGGGUCUGAGAGGAUGAUCCGCCACACUGGGACUGAGACACGGCCCAGACUCCUACGGGAGGCAGCAGUGGGGAAUAUUGGACAAUGGGCGGAAGCCUGAUCCAGCCAUGCCGCGUGUGUGAAGAAGGCCUUUUGGUUGUAAAGCACUUUAAGCGAGGAGGAGGCGCUCUAGGAUAAUACCCUA
rnacentral:rRNA from 1 species